rnacentral:sRNA from 1 species
GUUGAUAGAAGAAGAAGAUGAAGAAGAUAAUGUAUGAAA